ACUGGAAAGCCAAGGAUUAAUAACUACUAACUUUUGUUCUUCUGUCAUUUGGGUGGAGCGGUUUAAGGAGACUUCCUACAAGAAUUACACAAAUGAAGUCCUAAUAUGCCAUAAUGAUACCAGAGAUGUUCGAGUGCAUUGGAUCAAUGUACCUAUCAUUUUGACAAGAUGGGGACUGCAAGUUACUUUCCUGGAUCAUUUGAUGACAGACCCUGAGAAUUCUAAGCUCAUCUCUGCUUCCUUCUGCAUAAGGUUGCCAUGCCCAUAAUACAGGAACUAUGACUGCAGGCAGCUCUGAACUUAAA